AAGUCGUAACAAGGUCUCCGUAGGUGAACCUGCGGAGGGAUCAUUAACACUAUUUGGCUGGUGUCACUUAGUAUUUCGCAAGAGAGAAAACGUGAUGUUAGUUCAAAUUUUAACAAACCCGUUGAACUCGGUUAUUUCGGUAACCAAUCCCUGUUUCAAGUAGUAGGUUGUUGUAGUGACGAAGUGAGCCUCCCCUCUAUGCAGUGCUAAUUUUGGGCGCAUGGACUGGCAACUGAGCAACUUUGCCUUGGAAUGGAAAUUUUUGGUAACGCUACACUUCAAAGCGUUUCGUCCCCCUUUUGCCAAUUUUUUAACUGAUUUAACGAAGUGCAUCGAAAGGUCCAUCUUCGUCAAGAUAACAAAACUAAGCACAACUCUUAGCAACGGAUAUCUUGGUUCUC
rnacentral:misc_RNA from 1 species